rnacentral:misc_RNA from 1 species
GAUGAAGAACGUAGCGAAAUGCGAUAAGUAGUGUGAAUUGCAGAAUUCAGUGAAUCAUCGAAUCUUUGAACGCACAUUGCGCCCCUUGGUAUUCCAUGGGGCAUGCCUGUUCGAGCGUCAUUUGUACCUUCAAGCUCUGCUUGGUGUUGGGUGUUUGUCUCGCCUCUGCGUGUAGACUCGCCUCAAAACAAUUGGCAGCCGGCGUAUUGAUUUCGGAGCGCAGUACAUCUCGCGCUUUGCACCCAUAACGACGACGUCCAAAAGUACAUUUUUACACUCUUGACCUCGGAUCAGGUAGGGUUACCCGCUGAACUUAAGCAUAUCAAUAAGCGGAGGA